UUCCUGAUUCUGGAGGGAGGCACUGAGUAGGCUCUACAGGAGCCAUACUGUCCAAGCUCCGAUCUUCCUCUUCCAGAUCAAAUCCUUGGUGUCUCACUGUCAAGACAGCUCUAAGGGAGAAAUUGCUGUCCCGUGCGCCUUUGGGAUUCUCUGGGUACCCAGAAGUCCUCCUGAACUCUACCCUCUCCCCAUUUCUGCAGCAUCUCCCUUUGUUCAGCUUCCAGUGGAGAUGCAGACAGUUCCCUUCUCUGUGUUCCUGUCUGGUGGCAGAUCAUGCCAGUCUGUCCAGCUGGACUCUGCAGGAAGAGGAGGCAGCACCUUUCUAUACCCAGGAUGGAGCCAUGCUGAGCCACACAGGAACGCUGAGAUGGGAGACAACAGAAAAAGACAGAGAAACAGCAAUGGAAAUGAAAACUGUUGAUCUGUGUGGGGCCUCCACAGAA